rnacentral:rRNA from 1 species
UACGUAGGGGGGCAAGCGUUGUCCGGAAUCAUUGGGCGUAAAGAGCGCGUAGGCGGCCCAGUAAGUCCGCUCUGAAAGUCAGGGGGCUCAACCCCUGAAUGCGGGUGGAUACUGCUGGGCUAGAGUCCGGAAGAGGCGAGUGGAAUUCCUGGUGUAGCGGUGAAAUGCGCAGAUAUCAGGAAGAACACCCGUGGCGAAGGCGGCUCUCUGGGACGGUACUGACGCUGAGACGCGAAAGCGUGGGGAGCGAACAGG